CACCUGGUAGGCCAGAGUCAUUCAAAGGGGAUGGACAAGGAGGAAGCUGUCUGGAGAAUUGAGGUGCUGUGUUAAAGACUGACAGACUCCCAUAUUAGGAGACCCUGAGCAAGUGUCCAGAGAGGAGAUUCCAGGAACCUGUUCGUAGAGCAGAGAUUACAUCCACCAGCAUGGUAAGACAGCAGUGGGGGAGGAGUCCGCUGACACCCACCUUACACCUCACUCAAACCUGCAAUCAAUGUGAAGUGGCUGCUUCAAGGGCAAGCACAAGUCAUGCUUUCAUCUGCAUUGCACUUACCACAUGUUUGAAGAGAAGAAUUACCACAAUGAAACUCAAUUAAAAUGGCCUGUAAAAUAGAA